rnacentral:rRNA from 1 species
AUGUCACCAUCCAUCGCCCGGUGGUGCAGUGUGGCGCGCCCUUCCCUCCCGUCCGGCGCGAACUUCCAUCUACGCCACCUCGACCUUUCCUCCCCUUCGGUGCAGCCUACCCUCUGCUCCGGCGCGCCCUCCUACUCCUCCUCCACGUGCGGCAUGAACCUGGCCUUUGACCGCGAGCUCAUUGGCCCGCCCAUAUACUUCGGCCUCAUGGGCGACGGCCAGCCCAUCGGACGCUACGACGACAUGUCGCCGACUGGUCGCAAAGCUGACAAGGAAUGCGACACCGUGCAGAACUGCUACAUCUCGCUCUCGCAGCAGGUCAAGGAGAAGCUCGUCAAGAUCGACCCCUACUUCAUCAAGCUCGCCGACGCCAUGGUCAUCUAG